rnacentral:rRNA from 1 species
UACGUAGGUGGCAAGCGUUGUCCGGAAUUAUUGGGCGUAAAGCGCGCGCAGGCGGUUAUAUAAGUCUGAUGUUAAAGCCCGGGGCUCAACCUCGGUUCGCAUUGGAAACUGCGUAACUUGAGUGCAGAAGAGGAAAGUGGUAUUCCACGUGUAGCGGUGAAAUGCGUAGAGAUGUGGAGGAACACCAGUGGCGAAGGCGACUUUCUGGUCUGUAACUGACGCUGAGGCGAGAAAGCGUGGGGAGCAAACAGG